rnacentral:rRNA from 1 species
CACGAACGCUGGCGGCGUGCUUAACACAUGCAAGUCGAACGGUAAGGCCCUUCGGGGUACACGAGUGGCGAACGGGUGAGUAACACGUGGGUGAUCUGCCCUGCACUUCGGGAUAAGCCUGGGAAACUGGGUCUAAUACCGGAUAGGACCACUGCCUGCAUGGGUGGUGGUGGAAAGCUUUUGCGGUGUGGGAUGGGCCCGCGGCCUGUCAGCUUGUUGGUGGGGUGAUGGCCUACCAAGGCGACGACGGGUAGCCGGCCUGAGAGGGUGACCGGCCACACUGGGACUGAGAUACGGCCCAGACUCCUACGGGGGGCAGCAGUGGGGAAUAUUGCACAAUGGGCGCAAGCCUGAUGCAGCGACACCGCGUGAGGGAUGACGGCCUUCGGGUUGUAAACCUCUUUCAGCACCGACGAAGCGCAAGUGACGGUAGGUGCAGAAGAAGGACCGGCCAACUACGUGCCAGCCGCCGCAGUAA